rnacentral:lncRNA from 1 species
UUCACCAUGUUGGCCAGCCUGGUCUUGAACCCCUUAUCUCAAAUCAUCCGCCCACCUUGGCCUCCCAAAGUGCUGGGAUUACAGGCAUGAGCCACCACGCCUGGCCUCUUUCUUUUUUUUUUUCCCAGACAAGGCGGCACUCUGUCACCAUGUAGUGAUGCAACCAUGGCUCACUGCAGCCUCAAAUUCCUGGGUUCAGGUGAUCCUCCUGCCUCAGCCUCCCGAGUAGCUGGGAGUACAGGCAUGCACCUGUAUUUUUGGGGGAGACAGGAUCUCCCUAUGUUGCCCAGGCUGGUCUCGAACUCUUGGGUUCAAGCAAUCCUUCCAUCUCGGCCCCACAAGGUGCUGGGAUUACAGACGUGAGCCACCGCGCCCAGCCUGAUUGUGUCUCUUACCAGAAUGCUCACUCCAUAAGGGUGGAUACUGUUUUCUGUUUUGAUCAGUGCUGUGACCACUGGGGACUACCUAGAACUGGGCCUAACAUGCAGCAGGCGCUCAAUAAAUAUUUUUCAAAUGAGUGAAUGGUGACUAAGACACGCAUUUGGAACCAGACAGACCCAGGCGUGAAUACUGUUAUGCCAACCAUGACCAUGCAGCCUCUCUGUGACUAAUUUCCUCACUGGGGCACUAUGAAGGUUCAGCAAGCAGCUGACCAUAUUCUGACUUUAUCCUUAGCGUGAACCCCAUGCACAAUCAGCUCUUCAUAAACAUCCGUCUCCUCUGGCCAGGCACAGUGGCUGACCCCUGUAAUCCCAGCGCUUUCAGAGGCAGAAGAGGAAGCAUGGCUUAAGCUCAGGUAUUCAAGACCAGCCUGGGCAACAUAGUGAGACCCAGUCUCUACAAAAGAUGUUAAAAAAUGUCCGGGUGCAGUGGCUCACGCCUGUAAUCCCAGCACUUUGGGAGGCAGAGGCGGGCAGAUCACUUGAGCUCAGGAGUUCAAGACCAGCCUGGCCAACACAGUGAAAUCCCAUCUCUACUAAAAAUACAAAAAUUAGCCGGGCAUGGUGGUGUGCACCUGUAAUCCCAGCUACUUUGGAGACUGAGGCAGGAGAAUUGCUCGAACCUGGGAGAUACAGGUUACAGUGAGCCAAGAUUGUGCCACUGUACUCCAGCCUGGGUGAUAGAACA